rnacentral:rRNA from 1 species
GCACAAGCGGUGGAGUUAUGUUGGUUUAAUUCGAUGCAACGACGAAGAACCUUACCUGGCCUUGACAUCCCGGUAAUUUCCUGGAAACAGGAGAGUGCUUUCAUUAGAGAGACCUGGAGACAGGUGCUGCAUGGCUGUCGUCAGCUCGUGUCGUGAGAUGUUGGGUUAAGUCCCGCAACGAGCGCAACCCUUGCCUUUAGUUGCCAGCAGUUCGGCUGGGCACUCUAAAAGGGACUGCCGGUGUCAAACCGGAGGAAGGUGGGGAUGACGUCAAGUCCUCAUGGCCUUUAUGACCAGGGCUACACACGUACUACAAUGGCCGGUACAAAGGGCAGCGACACAGCGAUGUGAAGCCAAUCCCGAAAAGCCGGUCUCAGUCCGGAUUGGAGUCUGCAACUCGACUCCAUGAAGUUGGAAUCGCUAGUAAUCGCGGAUCAGCACGCCGCGGUGAAUACGUUCCCGGGCCUU